rnacentral:snoRNA from 1 species
AUGCCAUGGUGAGGGCAAUUGACACAAAGCAUCUUGAAUCUAUCCCAAGCUUGGUAAAACUUCUCAUCUUUGCGUUGUUGAAAGCUGGCAAUCCUUUGUCUUACUUU